rnacentral:rRNA from 1 species
AGAGUUUGAUCAUGGCUCAGAUUGAACGCUGGCGGCAGGCCUAACACAUGCAAGUCGAGCGGAUGAAGGGAGCUUGCUCCCGGAUUUAGCGGCGGACGGGUGAGUAAUGCCUAGGAAUCUGCCUGGUAGUGGGGGACAACGUCUCGAAAGGGUCGCUAAUACCGCAUACGUCCUACGGGAGAAAGUGGGGGAUCUUCGGACCUCACGCUAUCAGAUGAGCCUAGGUCGGAUUAGCUAGUAGGUGAGGUAAUGGCUCACCUAGGCAACGAUCCGUAACUGGUCUGAGAGGAUGAUCAGUCACACUGGAACUGAGACACGGUCCAGACUCCUACGGGAGGCAGCAGUGGGGAAUCUUCCGCAAUGGACGAAAGUCUGACGGAGCAACGCCGCGUGAGUGAAGAAGGUUUUCGGAUCGUAAAACUCUGUUUUCAGGGACGAAUGUGCGAUGUGUAAAUAAUGCAUUGUAAUGACGGUACCUGAGUAGAAAGCCACGGCUAACUACGUGCCAGCAGCCGCGGUAAUACGUAGGUGGCAAGCGUUGUCCGGAAUUAUUGGGCGUAAAGCGCGCGCAGGUGGGAUAUUAAGUCUGGUGUUAAAGUUCGGGGCUCAACCCCGUGAAGCAUUUGGAAACUGAUAUUCUUGGGUGCAGGAGAGGAAAGUGGAAUUCCUAGUGUAGCGGUGAAAUGCGUAGAUAUUAGGAGGAACACCAGUGGCGAAGGCGACUUUCUGGACUGUGUCUGACACUGAGGCGCGAAAGCCAGGGUAGUGAACGGGAUUAGAUACCCCGGUAAUCCUGGCCGUAAACGAUGGGUACUAGGUGUUGGGGGUAUCGACCCCUCCAGUGCCGGAGUUAACGCAAUAAGUACCCCGCCUGGGGAGUACGGCCGCAAGGUUAAAACUCAAAGGAAUUGACGGGGGCUCGCACAAGCGGUGGAGUAUGUGGUUUAAUUCGACGC